GACGUAGGGCGCGAGCGUUGUCCGGAUUUAUUGGGCGUAAAGAGCUCGUAGGCGGCUUGUCGCGUCGUCCGUGAAAACUUGGGGCUCAACCCCAAGCUUGCGGUCGAUACGGGCAGGCUAGAGUUCGGUAGGGGAGACUGGAAUUCCUGGUGUAGCGGUGAAAUGCGCAGAUAUCAGGAGGAACACCGGUGGCGAAGGCGGGUCGCUGGGACGUUACUGACGCUGAGACGCGAAAGCGUGGGGAGCAAACAGG
rnacentral:rRNA from 1 species